UACAGAGGUCCCGAGCGUUGUCCGGAUUCACUGGGCGUAAAGGGUGCGUAGGCGGUCGGGUAAGUCUGAUGUGAAAUCUCACAGCUUAACUGUGAAACUGCAUUGGAUACUAUUCGGCUUGAGGCCUGGAGGGGGGACUGGAAUUCUCGGUGUAGCAGUGAAAUGCGUAGAUAUCGAGAGGAACACCAGUGGCGAAGGCGAGUCCCUGGACAGGUCCUGACGCUGAGGCACGAAAGCUAGGGGAGCAAACAGG
rnacentral:rRNA from 1 species